rnacentral:lncRNA from 1 species
AGCCAAGUCAACCCACUCAGCCGACGGAAGAAACACGUCGAGCUAGCUCAAGGAACAUCAGACGUCCUGGCUGGCAGAACACUCCAGAGGGCUACGUUACUAAGGGCAAGAUGGCUGCGAAGAGAGGGUGGAAGUGAAGUGUUAUGACCUAUGUUAUGAUGUUGUCCUAUGAAAUAUGUUGUCUGCUGAACUAUGUUUUCUGUUGAACUAUG